GAAAAUGAAUAAAAUGGAACCUCGACCCACUAUCAAAGAUGAUAGGAACCUCGGUAUAACUUUGAAUGCCACACUUUGGGUGCAAAGUGAUAAGUUCGAAAUACAAAAACGGGUUGACGCCACAAGGGUUACUUGAUAAGUCUAACCAGUCCUUGGAGAACAAUGAGAGUUGAAAACAAACUCACAAAGUAAAAAAAUUUCAUAUAAGUUUUAAAAAUAUAUUGUCUAACCUUUACAUGUUUACAAGCCAACUAUUUAUACUAAAACUAGGACAUGAAUAGCCAAUUUUGGCCAUUAAUAAGUAACAUGAAUCAGCCCAUGAACCGAUUUUAAUGAUAUAUGUUCAUCCAUUGAAUGACAUUUAAGUCAUGAAGCAAAUGUUUGUUCCCCCCUUUCCAUCCAUAGAUGCAUUUGGCCAUUAAUAAGUCACAUUCUUCCCCCCUUGCCAUCCAUAGAUGCAUCCUUAGUCAUGAAGCAAAUGUUUGUUCAUCGUGGGUAAUAAAUUUGACUUCUAGAAUCUGCCCAUUCAUCCCUUCAAUUUGGAUGGUGCUUUUAAGGCUUCUUUGUUUCAACAAAAAAGGCUCUUAGGUGAGCUCAAACGGCAGCUUAAAUGAGGGUUUUAAUUGCUGCUCAUGCAUUUUCUUAAUUGGGCGGCACCUUGAUGAUAUUGUAGAGAAUUAAAUAACGUCCAUGCAUGGAAAGAAGAAUUCGGCAGCUCCUUUAUUGCCAUCCACGCAUGCCUCCUUAAAUGCUAACUAAGUCAGCAACCUAUCUUUAAUGUCGUCCAUGUACCUUGCAUGUAGAACAGCAACUUAAAUGCAUGUCUCCUUUGCCAUUAAGUAGUUGUUUCCAGCUGAAUUAAUUACCUGCAGACACAAAAUAAAUUCGGUCAAGACAUAAAUUAAACCUUAUUAAAUUCGGUUGUAGCAAAACAACUUAAAUGAUGUAAUGACAAUUAAAUUCAGCUGGACACCUUAAAAACAUACAUUAAAUUCAGCCAAACAUGUAGUAGCAGCAUUAAAUUCGUCCAGGUAUAUUUAUAACAUGUAGUGGCAGCAUUAAAUUCGUCCAGUUUUAAUAAAUUUAAUACUAACACUUAUUUGAGCUGGAAUAAAUAAAUAAACCAACUUAUUCAAUUUGUUUCAGCAAAUGAAAUUAUAAGAAUUAAAAUAAACUCAAAUUGAGCAAAAUGAUCCCAUUGAGCUGGAAACGAGCUAAACGAAGCUCAGUGAGAUGCAAUUGAGCUAAUUUAGCUCGCAUGGGUGUGCAAGAAAUACUUAUGGAGCUGAUCGAAAAUUGUGCCCGGGGCGUGGUCGUAUCAUCCCCUCCCUCUUUAAGGCAAUUUGUCCUCAAAUCGGGCCACUUGCUCGAGAAAAAUUUUUCAAGAUCUCGAACCCUUUUGUUCAUGAUCCGAAUAGAAUCAUUUCCAAAACUUUGAAAAUCACAAAUGGUUCGAUAAGAAAUUGAAUUAUUUCCAUGCCCUCCCUCUUUAAGAGGGAAACAAUUUAGAGUGUCACCUACACGAGAAUGAAAGGAAUUAGAGACACUAAAAAUUAUAAACACAAAUGAUCUUUUCAGAUGCUUAUUCAAAAUUGGGAUGCUUAACCCAAUGCCAGGAUCAAAAAUGAAAUUCGGUCUUACCUUUCCAAAAUGAAUCAAAAAGUUCAUAGAUAGAAACAAACCCGAACCACAAAAUAUUCGAAAGGCAUAAUCUCGAAGGUUAGAAUUACAAAAUCCAAGCCCUUUUAACAAGAACAAAUAAAAAUAAUCUCGAGGGUCAAAAACGAAGCUUCCUCUUGCUAUUUCAAUUUGAUGUGACAAUUUCAAGAUCGGCAUUAUAGAAAUGAUGAAAUGCAAUCUUAUGUCAUUUUUAUACAAAACAUGUACAAACCCUUUAAACCAUGACAUGGAGCACUUUUCAGAAUCACAAAUCGAAUUUUGGUUUUGCAAGACAAUGAUAUUUGCAUGCUUUAUUUUCGAACUAGAUAAAGAUAAUGUUGGAAACAAAUAGAAGGGGUCAACAUAUUGAUUCGAAACACAAUUUUGAUACUCACAUUGGCUUGACGUCAACUUAGGAAUGUAUAUCCCGAGUUUAAAAACGCUAUUUUCUUUGGUCGUUUUGCAACGCAACAGAAAUUUCUUCUUCACCAAGACUUCACACAUGUCAAGCAAACAGGAGUUAGGCAUACAUACAUUCGAGCAAUCAAACCCUUCAUAUUUCAUUUGCACACGUAAACAGAAAAAGUUCACACCACAAUUUAGAUAAUUCACAUGAUCAACACAAGCAAACAGAUUAGAUAACAACUUUUUAUCACAUAAGCCCAAAUUUUGUUUGUGUGGUUUUAAGCUUGCUUCAUCAUCAAACCUGUCAACACCAGACAUAUCAUGAGGAAAACUCUUCAAUCCAAUCAAAAAUUGAUACUUAGACAAAUCAGGAUAGGAAAGUCUCUUACUAACUAAGUCUUCGGCAAUCUCACCAUUAUCAUGCAUAUGAAUUUGUUGAAGCUCAACUAGCAUAGAACCCUUACCGUGCUUACCUUUAGGCGCUAGUGGACUAGGGUCAUUUACGAUCAUUCCUUUCUGAAUCAACUUGAAUCGCCUCUCAUCAGGGAAAUAUUGUAAUUGAAACUCGUCACACGAAUCUUUAGGAAUUUGAAAAGAAGAAACAGAACAAGGACAACUUACAUGUGGGUUAGUUAAAACAACACUCACUUUUUCUUGUUCUCUCUCGUCUUUUUCACUAGUUUCUUUUUCAAACUCUUUUUCAAACCCUCUCUCUUUUUCCAUGACACUCGUUUCUUUUACACUGUCGUUUCUUGCUUCAAUCUCACUUUCAAUUUUAUUUUCUAUCUCACACUCAUCUUCUUUUUCUUUCAUUUCUUUUUCUUUUUCAUUUUCUCGCUCGCACUCUUUUUCUUCUUCACAUGAUGUUUCGAUUUCAUUACAAAAGUAUAAAUCAUCAAAAUGAGAAGUCUUUCGUUGAGAAUAAGAAAAUGUUUCUUCAUACAAAAGACGAUCAUCUCUUUGUGAUAGAUCUUCCGUAUUUGAGUACUUUGACACUCUUGAAACACGUUCGCCUCUUCGUAAAUAAUCCUUUGUAGAUGAAUAAAUUGAGGCACUUGUAGAGAUAUGUUUACCUUUUCAUUUAUCAUCUCGGAAGGACUCAAACUCGGAGUUUACUUCUCUUGGUCUCGAACGCAUUGUUGAAUAGAAGUCUUGAUAAUAGUCUCUUGUCGAGUAGUGUCGUCGGGAUGAUCUUAACUCCGUCUCUUGACUCGAUGAAAUUUGCUUUCAUUGGGCUAUUUUCUCUAUUCGAUCCAAUCGAUUAUGCAAUUUAUCAAAUUUUGAUUUCACCAUUCUACACACUUCUUGCAUCAAAUAUUGGAAUUCUUAUUCGGAAAAUUCUUCUUGAGACAUUUUUUUUUGCUAAAAAAAUGAUUAAAAUACAAUAGAAAAUACAUACCUCACCACACAAAAAAAAUCUCACGUUUCACUCACAAAGAAAAAUCACACAAUUUUGGCUUUUACUUCUCUCGAAUGAUCUCACCAAUCACUCUUGCCUUUUUUCACUCGAUUUUUCGCCUCUCGAAGUUCUUCGCAAACUAAAUCGACAAAUCAAUACCGUUUGGCGUCGGCUUACAAAAUUUAUUUGGCUUGGUGGGUAAUGAUGUCGGAAAUGGUAGGCUAUCAAACAAACUAGAAAUGGUUAAGUGUGGCUAUAUAGAUAAGGUCCUUCGGGUAACAAGCAAUGCUUUAACAAACUCAAAACAAAUUUCAAUCACUCUUUUUUUUUUCAAUUUUGAUUUUUUUUCUUCUUUUUUUUUAAUUCUGAAUUUUUUUCUUCUUUUUUUUCUUCAAUACUAAAUACAAAAAGUAAAAAUAAAUUGAAUACAAACUUUUUUUUUUGAAUUUUUUUUUCGAAAUUUUUUUUCGAUUUUUUUACAAUACCGUAAUGACAAAAUGUCGAUCUUACUCCGAUUUAGCUAGCUUUGAUACCAAAUGAUACGCCCCAGCUCGGAAAGGAGAGUCGAGUCGUAGAUAUGCCCGAUCGUGAAUUGGAGUAAUACUCGAGGGUGGAUGAAAUAGGUUAAGAAAGAAGAGAUAAAGGCUCAAAUUUAGUUCAAAAGGGGUUAUGGAAUGUAUUGAGGUUGAUAGGUGAAUGAAAACCAAGUAUUCAAGUUGAACCAACACAAUAUAAGUGUGUUAACCCGGGACUUAUACGAAUACUUAGAAAAGGUUAAAUGUUGUACGGAUGGAAAACGAAUAAAAUGGAACCUCGACCCACUAUCAAAGAUGAUAGGAACCUCGGUAUAACUUUGAACGCCACACUUUGGGUGCAAAGUGAUAAGUUCGAAAUACAAAAACGGGUUGACGCCACAAGGGUUACUUGAUAAGUCUAACUAGUCCUUGGAGAACAAUGAGAGUUGAAAACAAACUCACAAAGUAAACAAAUUUCAUAUAAGUUUUAAAAAUAUAUUGUCUAACCUUUACAUGUUUACAAGCCAACUAUUUAUACAAAAACUAGGACAUGAAUAGCCAAUUUUGGCCAUUAAUAAGUAACAUGAAUCAGCCCAUGAACCGAUUUUAAUGAUAUAUGUUCAUCCAUUGAAUGACAUUUAAGUCACAUUCUUCCCCCCUUGCCAUCCAUAGAUGCAUCCUUAGUCAUGAAGCAAAUGUUUGUUCAUCGUGGGUAAUAAAUUUGACUUCUAGAAUCUGCCCAUUCACCCCUUCAAUUUGGAUGGUGCUUUUAAGGCUUCUUUGUUUCCACGAAAAAGGCUCUUAGGUGAGCUCAAACGGCAGCUUAAAUGAGGGUUUUAAUUGCUACUCAUGCAUUCUCUUAAUUGGGCGGCACCUUGAUGAUAUUGUAGAGAAUUAAAUAACGUCCAUGCAUGGAAAGAAGAAUUCGGCAGCUCCUUUAUUGCCAUCCACGCAUGCCUCCUUAAAUGCUAACUAAGUUAGCAACCUAUCUUUAAUGCCGUCCAUGUACCUUGCAUGUAGAACAGCAACUUAAAUGCAUGUCUCCUUUGCCAUUAAGUAGUUGUUUCCAGCUGAAUUAAUUACCUGCAGACACAAAAUAAAUUCGGUCAAGACAUAAAUUAAACCUCAUUAAAUUCGGUUGUAGCAAAACAACUUAAAUGAUGUAAUGACAAUUAAAUUCAGCUGGACACCUUAAAAACAUACAUUAAAUUCAGCCAAACAUGUAGUAGCAGCAUUAAAUUCGUCCAGGCAUAUUUAUAACAUGUAGUGGCAGCAUUAAAUUCGUCCAGUUUUAAUAAAUUUAAUACUAACACUUAU
rnacentral:lncRNA from 1 species